rnacentral:rRNA from 1 species
CCUACGGGCGGCUGCAGUGGGGAAUAUUGCACAAUGGGCGAAAGCCUGAUGCAGCGACGCCGCGUGAGCGAAGAAGUAUUUCGGUAUGUAAAGCUCUAUCAGCAGGGAAGAAAAUGACGGUACCUGACUAAGAAGCCCCGGCUAACUACGUGCCAGCAGCCGCGGUAAUACGUAGGGGGCAAGCGUUAUCCGGAUUUACUGGGUGUAAAGGGAGCGUAGACGGCUGUGCAAGUCUGAAGUGAAAGCCCGGGGCUCAACCCCGGGACUGCUUUGGAAACUGUGCAGCUCGAGUACCGGAGGGGUAAGCGGAAUUCCUAGUGUAGCGGUGAAAUGCGUAGAUAUUAGGAGGAACACCAGUGGCGAAGGCGGCUUACUGGACGGUAACUGACGUUGAGGCUCGAAAGCGUGGGUAGCAAACAGGAUUAGAUACCCCAGUAGUC